CCUGAACCAUGGACAAACCAGAGGAGAAUGACCCUGAAUCUUUCAGAGGGAUGGAGCUGGUCAUGGCUCACAUCUUGGUUACCAGACUUUGGAUCCUGGGGAAGGAAAAUUGUUCAGACCUUGUUGUUUGUAUUAUUUGUCUUUAUAUUAACUUCCUCAAUCUUUCAAUGUGUUAAAAUUGUUUUCCGGAAAUAUUGUAUUUCCAUGUCAACUGGACAGCAAACCUAUUGGCAAGAAUAUCUAAAAAA